GAGCCGGAGGGAAACCGAGUCUUAAUUGGGCGUUAAGUUGCAGGGUAUAGACCCGAAACCCGGUGAUCUAGCCAUGGGCAGGUUGAAGGUUGGGUAACACUAACUGGAGGACCGAACCGACUAAUGUUGAAAAAUUAGCGGAUGACCUGUGGCUGGGGGUGAAAGGCCAAUCAAACCGGGAGAUAGCUGGUUCUCCCCGAAAGCUAUUUAGGUAGCGCCUCGUGAAUUCAUCUCCGGGGGUAGAGCACUGUUUCGGCUAGGGGGCCAUCCCGGCUUACCAACCCGAUGCAAACUGCGAAUACCGGAGAAUGUUAUCACGGGAGACACACGGCGGGUGCUAACGUCCGUCGUGAAGAGGGAAACAACCCAGACCGCCAGCUAAGGUCCCAAAGUCAUGGUUAAGUGGGAAACGAUGUGGGAAGGCCCAGACAGCCAGGAUGUUGGCUUAGAAGCAGCCAUCAUUUAAAGAAAGCGUAAUAGCUCACUGGUCGAGUCGGCCUGCGCGGAAGAUGUAACGGGGCUAAACCAUGCACCGAAGCUGCGGCAGCGACACUGUGUGUUGUUGGGUAGGGGAGCGUUCUGUAAGCCUGUGAAGGUGUGUCGUGAGGC
rnacentral:rRNA from 1 species